rnacentral:rRNA from 1 species
UACGAAGGGGGCUAGCGUUGCUCGGAAUUACUGGGCGUAAAGCGCACGUAGGCGGCUUUCUAAGUCGGGGGUGAAAUCCUGGAGCUCAACUCCAGAACUGCCUCGAUACUGGAAAGCUCGAGUCCGGGAGAGGUGAGUGGAACUGCGAGUGUAGAGGUGAAAUCGUAGAUAUUCGCAAGAACACCAGUGGCGAAGGCGGCUCACUGGCCCGAUACUGACGCUGAGGCACGAAAGCGUGGGGAGCAAACAGGG